AGGAGCUUGCUCUUGUGGAUCAGUGGCGAACGGGUGAGUAACACGUGAGCAACCUGCCCCUGACUCUGGGAUAAGCGCUGGAAACGGCGUCUAAUACUGGAUAUGUGACGUGACCGCAUGGUCUGCGUUUGGAAAGAUUUUUCGGUUGGGGAUGGGCUCGCGGCCUAUCAGCUUGUUGGUGAGGUAAUGGCUCACCAAGGCGUCGACGGGUAGCCGGCCUGAGAGGGUGACCGGCCACACUGGGACUGAGACACGGCCCAGACUCCUACGGGAGGCAGCAGUGGGGAAUAUUGCACAAUGGGCGAAAGCCUGAUGCAGCAACGCCGCGUGAGGGAUGACGGCCUUCGGGUUGUAAACCUCUUUUAGCAGGGAAGAAGCGAAAGUGACGGUACCUGCAGAAAAAGCGCCGGCUAACUACGUGCCAGCAGCCGCGGUAAUACGUAGGGCGCAAGCGUUAUCCGGAAUUAUUGGGCGUAAAGAGCUCGUAGGCGGUUUGUCACGUCUGCUGUGAAAUCCCGAGGCUCAACCUCGGGCCUGCAGUGGGUACGGGCAGACUAGAGUGCGGUAGGGGAGAUUGGAAUUCCUGGUGUAGCGGUGGAAUGCGCAGAUAUCAGGAGGAACACCGAUGGCGAAGGCAGAUCUCUGGGCCGUAACUGACGCUGAGGAGCGAAAGGGUGGGGAGCAAACAGGCUUAGAUACCCUGGUAGUCCACCCCGUAAACGUUGGGAACUAGUUGUGGGGUCCAUUCCACGGAUUCCGUGACGCAGCUAACGCAUUAAGUUCCCCGCCUGGGGAGUACGGCCGCAAGGCUAAAACUCAAAGGAAUUGACGGGGACCCGCACAAGCGGCGGAGCAUGCGGAUUAAUUCGAUGCAACGCGAAGAACCUUACCAAGGCUUGACUAUACGAGAACGGGCCAGUAAUGGUCA
rnacentral:rRNA from 1 species